rnacentral:rRNA from 1 species
AACGAACGCUGGCGGCAUGCCUAACACAUGCCAGUCGAACGAGACCUUCGGGUCUAGUGGCGCACGGGUGCGUAACGCGUGGGAACCUGCCCUUAGGUUCGGAAUAACUCCCCGAAAGGGGUGCUAAUACCGGAUAAUGUCUUCGGACCAAAGAUUUAUCGCCUUUGGAUGGGCCCGCGUUGGAUUAGCUAGUUGGUAGGGGAAAAGCCUACCAAGGCGACGAUCCAUAGCUGGUCUGAGAGGAUGAGCAGCCACACUGGGACUGAGCCACGGCCCAGACUCCUACGGGAGGCAGCAGUGGGGAAGGUUGGACAAUGGGCGAAAGCCUGAGCCAGCAAUGCCGCGUGAGUGAUGAAGGCCUUAGGGUUGGAAAGCUCUUUUACCCGGGAUGAUAAUGACAGUACCGGGAGAAUAAGCUCCGGCUAACUCCGUG